rnacentral:rRNA from 1 species
CACGUAGGAGGCAAGCGUUACCCGGAUUUACUGGGCGUAAAGCGCGUGUAGGCGGUUCGGUAAGUUGGAUGUGAAAUCUCCUGGCUCAACUAGGAGAGGUCGUUCAAUACUGCCAGACUAGAGGACGGUAGAGGAAGGUAGAAUUCCCGGUGUAGUGGUGAAAUGCGUAGAUAUCGGGAGGAAUACCAGUGGCGAAGGCGGCCUUCUGGGCCGUUCCUGACGCUCAGACGCGAAAGCGUGGGUAGCGAACGGG